CGCUGUCAAAACGUUUACGGCUCGCGCGAGGCGUAAACGCCUGUCAAAGUGUUAUUUACAAACAGAGGACAACAGAGUGAGAAAAUGGAUAACAAGAAAGAAAAUAAAGCACCAAACCAAAAAGUGGUUAGUAUUUCUGCGAUAAAUGCGUAAGUGAGCUUGGUGAUCCGGAACGCUCCCUGAUUCCCUGACGUUGCUCGAACUGUUCCGAAAUUUUCAGCCACUCUUGUCUACUCGAAGACUGACUCAGCGCGACCAACACACUCGCAAUGUGCAUCAGCUACGGAAUCGACGGUUCUGCAUUCUUUAUCACAUGAAGAACAGAGUUUACAGAAGAGCUCUCCGGUCUCUGCCUCUCCUAACCGUGCUCCCACUCACUCUGUCGCAUCAACAUCCACAACGGGACAGGGUAGGCAACGUGUAGACUCUAACGAUAACGGAAUUGGGGCUACACUGCAGGCGCUGGUCGAAAUUACCAAUCGACACUUGCAGCGGUCUUCAUCCAUCAGAAUGGGUAACGAUGUAGCAAACUGGAUGGAUAAAAUCAACAAUCGAUACUCAACAUUGGCUUCCGUAAGACUGUACGAUGCAAUGUAAAGUAUCGAAACGGAGAUUAACGAACUCAGUGAAACAACGAUGUAGGCAACGAGCAGUAGGCAUAAGUUAAUACAAGCAAUAGGAGAUCUAUCGUUCCUUUAUUCAAACCAUUGGAUUGUUUAUUUUCGAAUUAAGCAAGGCAUUUCGCAAUAAACACAAGAUCACU